AUUGAACGCUGGCGGCAUGCUUUACACAUGCAAGUCGAACGGUAACAGGCCGCAAGGUGCUGACGAGUGGCGAACGGGUGAGUAAUGCAUCGGAACGUGCCCAGUCGUGGGGGAUAACGCAGCGAAAGCUGUGCUAAUACCGCAUACGAUCUAUGGAUGAAAGCGGGGGGCCGUAAGGCCUCGCGCGAUUGGAGCGGCCGAUGUCAGAUUAGGUAGUUGGUGGGGUAAAGGCUCACCAAGCCAACGAUCUGUAGCUGGUCUGAGAGGACGACCAGCCACACUGGGACUGAGACACGGCCCAGACUCCUACGGGAGGCAGCAAUGGGGAAUUUUGGACAAUGGGCGCAAGCCUGAUCCAGCAAUGCCGCGUGCAGGAAGAAGGCCUUCGGGUUGUAAACUGCUUUUGUACGGAACGAAAAGGUUUGGGUUAAUACCCUGGGCCGAUGACAGUACCGUAAGAAUAAGCACCGGCUAACUACGUGCCAGCAGCCGCCGCCG
rnacentral:rRNA from 1 species